rnacentral:tRNA from 2 species
AGGGCCAUAGCUUAAUGGGUAAAGCAAGCUGCUCAUAACGGUUUAGAUGAGUGUUCAAAUCAUUCUGGCCCUA